GCAAGGGAACGGCCCCAGAAAGAAAGGUACCAGAGACCAGAUAGAGUUCUCCAAGUUGUACUUCCAUGACCCACUCAGACACACCCAGAAAGCAGUGAUGAGACCCUGGGAGUGAAAGUCUGAGAAGAAACAAAUCCAGAGAUGAUGUUGUUACUGGAGAGUGGAGAACACAGCUCUACUGCCAGAGAACCACAGGUAAAGAUGCACCAAGAAGGCCCUUGAUGGAUGCCAACACCAUGAUAUUGGACUUCCUAGCCUAUAGAACUAUGAGCCAAUAAACAUCUACUAAAUAAAUUACUCAGGGUCUGACUGAAAC